UACGUAGGGGGCAAGCGUUGUUCGGAAUUACUGGGCGUAAAGGGCGCGUAGGCGGCACGGCAAGUCGGGAGUGAAAGUCCGGGGCUCAACUCCGGAUCUGCGGUGGGUACGGGCAGACUAGAGUGAUGUAGGGGAGACUGGAAUUCCUGGUGUAGCGGUGAAAUGCGCAGAUAUCAGGAGGAACACCGAUGGCGAAGGCAGGUCUCUGGGCAUUAACUGACGCUGAGGAGCGAAAGCAUGGGGAGCGAACAGG
rnacentral:rRNA from 1 species